UACGAAGGGGCUAGCGUUGCUCGGAAUCACUGGGCGUAAAGGGUGCGUAGGCGGGUCUUAAGUCAGGGGUGAAAUCCUGGAGCUCAACUCCAGAACUGCCUUUGAUACUGAAGAUCUUGAGUUCGGGAGAGGUGAGUGGAACUGCGAGUGUAGAGGUGAAAUUCGUAGAUAUUCGCAAGAACACCAGUGGCGAAGGCGGCUCACUGGCCCGAUACUGACGCUGAGGCACGAAAGCGUGGG
rnacentral:rRNA from 1 species